rnacentral:rRNA from 1 species
UAAUACGAGGGGUGCUAGCGUUGUCCGGAAUUACUGGGCGUAAAGGGUCCGUAGGCGUCUUGUCAAGUUGAUCGUUAAAUCCACCGGCUUAACCGGUGAUCUGCGAUCAAAACUGGCAGGAUAGAAUAUGUGGGGGGAAUGUGGAAUUCCUGGUGUAGCGGUGACAUGCGUAGAUAUCAGGAGGAACACCAAUGGCGAAGGCAGCAUUCUGGCACAAUAUUGACGCUGAGGGACGAAAGCGUGGGGAGCAAACAGGAUUAGAUACCCUGGUAGUCCACGCCGUAACGAUGAGUACUUGGUGGUGGGGGAUUCGACCCCUUCACUAUCGGAGCUAACGCGUUAAGUACUCCGCCUGGGGGACUACGGCCGCAAGGCUG